rnacentral:rRNA from 1 species
GACGGAGGUCUCUAGCGUUGUUCGGAAUUACUGGGCUUAAAGCGCGUGUAGGCGGGAUGGCAAGUACCGUGUGAAAUCCCCGGGCUCAACCCGGGAAUGGCUCGGUAUACUGUCAUUCUUGAGGCAGGUAGGGGUCACUGGAACCUUAGGUGGAGCGGUGAAAUGCGUAGAUAUCUAAGGGAACGCCUGUGGCGAAAGCGGGUGACUGGGCCUGCCCUGACGCUGAGACGCGAAAGCGUAGGGAGCAAACGGG